CCUGUAAAUACGGCGGUGAAGUUAGUUUCAGGUUGGAUAUAUUUUCCUGUAAAUACGGCAGUGAAGUUAGUUUUAGGUUGGAUAUAUUUUCCUGUAAAUAUGGCGGUGAAGUUAGUUUUAGGUUGGAUAUAUUUUCCUGUAAAUACGGCGGUGAAGUUAGUUUCAGGUUGGAUAUAUUUUCCUGUAAAUACGGCGGUGAAGUUAGUUUUAGGUUGGAUAUAUUUUCCUGUAAAUAUGGCGGUGAAGUUAGUUUUAGGUUGGAUAUAUUUUCCUGUAAAUACGGCGGUGAAGUUAGUUUCAGGUUGGAUAUAUUUUCCUGUAAAUACGGCGGUGAAGUUAGUUUUAGGUUGGAUAUAUUUUCCUGUAAAUAUGGCGGUGAAGUUAGUUUUAGGUUGGAUAUAUUUUCCUGUAAAUACGGCGGUGAAGUUAGUUUCAGGUUGGAUAUAUUUUCCUGUAAAUACGGCGGUGAAGUUAGUUUCAGGUUGGAUAUAUUUUCCUGUAAAUACGGCGGUGAAGUUAGUUUCAGGUUGGAUAUAUUUUCCUGUAAAUACGGCGGUGAAGUUAGUUUUAGGUUGGAUAUAUUUUCCUGUAAAUACGGCGGUGAAGUUAGUUUCAGGUUGGAUAUAUUUUCCUGUAAAUACGGCGGUGAAGUUAGUUUUAGGUUGGAUAUAUUUUCCUGUAAAUACGGCGGUGAAGUUAGUUUCAGGUUGGAUAUAUUUUCCUGUAAAUAUGGCGGUGAAGUUAGUUUUAGGUUGGAUAUAUUCUCCUGUAAAUACGGCGGUGAAGUUAGUUUCAGGUUGGAUAUCUGACGGACAUUCUCUGAGGAUCUACCGGUGUCUUCUCACUCUCCAUAACCAGGAAUAACAACAGCAGCGCGGUUAAAUCUACUCGACACCCUCACUGUCAACGUCGGUGUUGAAUAAGGGACCGUCAAUAAAUUACCGGUUGAUGUUCUCAGAAAAGGCUGUUUUCCUUC